UGGGAUAUAACUCAGUUGGUAGAGUGCUUGCCUUGCAUGACAAGGCCCUGGGUUCAAUUCCCAGCACCAUAC
rnacentral:tRNA from 1 species